UUUCAUUUAGAACUAUGACAAAACCAGCCUCACAGCUCUGCAAUAGUAUUUGAUUAAAAUCCACAAAAAUAGGAAUGUUAUCACACUA